rnacentral:lncRNA from 1 species
UGGUUUAAUAUGUAGCGUGUUUUUCAGGCCUUUGACUGCUGCACUAAUUUGAUUGGAUUUGCGAUGUUGCAGUGACAACAACAGAGCAGGCAAUUUAGGAAACAAUAAUGUUAUUGCAGCCAAUGAUCUGAACAUCAUGCAAUUAAAAUAAGCCUAAUUGAAACCCUAACCCCCAAAUCUCAACGGAAGCCUUUUCGGGCGUUUCCCAGCUGCUGCGAUCUUCUCCUUGCCCGUGAAGAUCUUCUCCUUGGGCGCGGAUGUGGAGGCUGUCCUCUUGGCGGCCGCCACACGGCCCUCCCUCUUGCCCGCCGGGGAGGCUGGACCGGCGCUCUUCUAGCUGGCGGCCCUCUUCUUGGGCACGGAGGAGGCGGUCGUCUUGCCGGCUACCACACGGCCCUCCGUCUUGCCCGCUGAUGACACCUUCCCGGAGGGGGCGAACUGGCCCCGCGGAUUGCGCAACUGCAUCCUCGCCAGCUUGCGAUGUGGGAAGCGGAGAUGCUCAGAGGCUUAGGCGGAGCCUUAAUGCCGCGGCGGAUGAAGUAUUAA